rnacentral:lncRNA from 1 species
CAUCCAGGCUCCUUCCAGGAAUGCCGUGGUGAUCAGAAGGGUCAUUUUGGUGCCUCUCUUCAGCUCCAUUCUGUCACAACUUUACCAUUUUGCACCAAGGACUGACAACUGAGCCUUGUCCGACUGGCUUAUAACAAAUGCAGCUCUAAGUGAAUGGGGCAUAAUCUAAAGAACUAAAAUCCUACCUAGUUGCCAAUAAACCUGUGGUUAGAACGAUUUACUCAGCAAUCUCUACUCUCACUUAGGAAUAGAAAAUUAGUGAGGCGAAUAGGAAGAGAAAUCAGACAGGGUGACUUUUAAUCACUUUCAAGGAAGCUGAUGGUAAGACAUUAAAAACAAAUAGGUAGAUUUUAGUCUGUUUACAAGGGUAGUGAUGAAUGGAGUUGAAAAUUAAACGGAACCAUUGGGAAACUAAGAAAUUGAAAAUUUCAAAGAGUACUUGCAACUAACAUGACUGUCCACUAUGGGAAAUUACCAAUUAAGGAAAAAAUGGCACUUUCUAGACUUAAAAGAAAAGAAGCAUGAACACAACAGCCAAUGUGUGCAAAAUGACUGAAAUCUGGGGGAGCAUUGCAGAAGCAAGCACCUAGGCAGAAGAGAAAGUAUAUUUACAGUUCAGAAGAGACAGAAAAGAGAAAGGAUUAUAUAUUUUAGACACACCAGCAUUUCUUUGUUCAUUCCUGCAACUGAUAUUUUUGGUGCUUUUCAUACACCCAUACAUGGGUCAUCCUUGCUUCAUCUAGCUUAGCCUAAAGGAGAAAUGGAUGUGGGGAAAAAAUAACUGUGUGGUGCAUGCUGUUGUAAUAGAGGUGUGAAGCUCAUUAAAGAAAGUGGCUGGGUCUGCCCAGAUAGGGACAAGAAAAUUUCCCAGUUAAUAUUAUAUUUGAUCUGGGUCUUGAUAGAUAAAUUUAGAAAGUUACUAGAUCGGGAAAAAAAUAGGCAUUUGAAGGAAAAGGGAUAGCACAUGGAAAAGCACUGUAUCUUUGAGCUAUUGCCACGAUGAACACUGCAAACAAGGCUUCCCAAAACAUAGUGAUUAAAAACAAAACCAUUUAUUAUGUUUUCAUGAGUCUACAAAUCAGUGGAGCCAUUCUGCUGAUAUGAGUGUGGCUUGGCUGAUCUUGGCUGGGCUGGCUCACAGUUCUGAGGUGACCUGACACAUCAGCUGAGGGUUGGACGGCAGAGUUGGCCUUUGCUGAGAUGACUCAGCACCACUCAGCUUGGCCUCUCAUUAUACACCAGGCUAGCCCAGACUUGUUCUAAUCACAGAGACAGAGAUCCAAGCGGCAGCUGGAAUACACAAAGCAGUUCCAUAGGCCGAGGCUUAGCAUGGCACACAUGGAUUUCAGAUAUAUCCCACCAGCCGGCACAUGUCAUGAGGCCAGUCCAGAGUCAAGGAGUGAAGAAAUGACUCCAUCUCUUCAUGAGAAGCUACAAAGUCACAUUUUAUACAAAGAGGAGUAAAACAUUGUUGUCAUUAGUCUAAGACGGUUAUACAAAGAUGUAGAAGAAUGUAGCAUAUUCAGGAAAAAUCCAGGAUUUAGGUCUGGCUUGCUCAUAAAGUGCAAGUUGCAAGUAGAGAAUGAGAUGAACAGAAGAUAAAGCUGUAAACUGGAGCUGGGUCAUGAAAGGACUUCAUUUGGAAGUAACCCACAUUUAGAAAUUUGAAGUUUUUUUUUAAAGUCAGUUGGAAAGUUAUUAUGCAAUGGAUGCAAUUACAUCUGUAUUUUAGAAAAAAUAUAAUGCACAAUAUCCUGGAGGAGAGGAAGGAGGUAGAAAACUAGUUAAGAUGCUACUAUGGCAAUUUAGUGGAGAACUGAUUAGAAUUUGUACAAGGGAAAGAGGAAUCAAGAAGAAAAAGAGGUGGCAAAUUUGGAAAAAUAUUGGGACAAUUGAUAGAUUGAGUGUGUGGAAAUAACCACUUUUUAUCUCUUCUCCUUUUCCAUGAUAGUAAUCCCCCUAAUUUUUGCAAGCAUAUGCUGAUUCAGAAUAAAGACUACACUCCCAGCUUCCCUUGCAGCUAAAGGAGACCACAUGAGUACUUCCUGGCCAUGAGAUGUAAACAGGUGCAUCCUGUAGCAGUCUCCUGGAUCUUCACUAAAAGAUAGUUGAGGCAUGCCCUUUGCCUACCUCUUUCCUUUCUCUAUGCAAUUGCCUGGAAUGCAGACAUCCAUUUUGGGGCUGGGAGGAUAAACACUACACCUUGGGGAUGGCAGAGGUGUGAGCUAAAAGGAACAUGGGAUCCUAAAGAAUUCAUAGACUGAAGCCACCAUAGCAGCUCUGGUGGCCUGUCAAUGCCCUGAUAUCUUCAAUGAAAGAGAAAUAAGCCACUAUCACAUUUAGGCCUCUGUUAUUUAGGGUCUCUGUUACAUAUAACUGAACCUAAUCUAGACUGAUACAAAUGUGGAAAGGAUUAAGAUUUGUUUGGAUCAUGAAGUUAUUAGGCCAGGAGGAAGAGCAAGUCUCCAAGGGAAGUUCAAGAGCUGAUACAUUUAUAAUGCCUUGAGAAACACACACACACACAUACACACACACACACACACAGACAUGAAGAUUUUUACCUCUGGGGGAAGAACUGUAGGAGGAGAGCCUAGGGGAGAAUACUAAAAGCCUUAUACUAAAACAUUUGGUGUCUUUCAAAUGUAUUUUGUACCAUUUGCUUGUUUUACCUAAGCAUAAAUAAAUACUAAUACUUCACAAACACUUCCCAAAAAUAAAAGAGGAGAGAAUCUUUCUAGCUCAUUUUAUGAGGACAGUAUUAUUCUGAUACCAAAACAAGAUAAAGACAUCACAAGAACACUACACCAAUAUUUCUAGUAAAUAUAAAUGCAAAAAUUCUCAACAAAAUGCUAGCAAACUAAAUUCAGUAACACAUAGGACCGUGAUUAAGUGGGAUUUAUUCCCAUGAAAUAAGCUUGAUUUAACAUAAGAAAAUUGGUGGUAUAAUACACCAUUUUAACAGAAUAAAAGACAAAAAUUAUGGGUUCACCUCAAUCAGCACAGAAAAAUCAUUUGACAAAAUUCAACCAUGUUUCAUGAUGAAAACACUAAAAAAAACUUCUUCAACCUGAUAAAAAGGCAUCUGUGAAAUACCCACAGUUAACACUGUACUUAUUGGUGAAACACUGGCUGCUUUGUCACUAAAAUCACUAACAGAGCAAGAAUGUGUGUCCUCAUCAAUUUGGUUUAAUAUUAUACUGGAGGUUCUAGCAAGGGCAAUUAGACAAGAAAAUAAAAUAAAAGCAUCCAGACUGAAAAGGAAGAAGGAAAACUCUCUAUUCUCAGAUGACAUAACUUUUUACAUAGAAAAUACUAAGGAACCCAACAAAAAAAAUAUAAAAAUGAGUAAGUUCUACAAGGUUGCAAGAGACAAAGAUCAAUUACAAAAAUCAAUUGCAUGCACCAACAAUAAAUGAUCUGAAAAUGAAAUUAAGAAAAAAUUCCAUUUACAAAAGCCUCAAAAAGAGUAAAAUAUUUAUGGGGCACCUGGCUGGCUCAAUCAGUAGAGCAUGCAACUCUUGAUCUUGGGGUCAUGAGUUUGAGCCCCAUGUUGAGGGUAGAGUUCACUUAAAGAAAAAAAAAA